GAGUUUGAUCCUGGCUCAGGACGAACGCUGGCGGCGUGCCUAAUACAUGCAAGUCGAACGCACGAAGUUGAAGAGCUUGCUCUUUAACGAAGUGAGUGGCGGACGGGUGAGUAACACGUGGGUGACAAGCAAAUUAGAGGGGGAUAACAUUCGGAAACGGAUGCUAAUACCGCAUAGUUUCAGGAUCGCAUGAUUCUUGAAGGAAAGGUGGCUUCGGCUACCACUAAUGGAUGGACCCACGGCGUAUUAGCUAGUUGGUGAGGUAAUGGCUCACCAAGGCAAUGAUACGUAGCCGACCUGAGAGGGUCAUCGGCCACACUGGGACUGAGACACGGCCCAGACUCCUACGGGAGGCAGCAGUAGGGAAUCUUCCGCAAUGGACGAAAGUCUGACGGAGCAACGCCGCGUGAGUGAAGAAGGUUUUCGGAUCGUAAAACUCUGUUGUUAAAGAAGAACAAGGAUGAGAGUAACUGCUCAUCACCUGACGGUAUUUAACCAGAAAGCCAC
rnacentral:rRNA from 1 species